rnacentral:rRNA from 1 species
UACCAGACUCCUACGGGAGGCAGCAGUGGGGAAUAUUGCACAAUGGGGGGAACCCUGAUGCAGCGACGCCGCGUGGGUGAAGGAGCACCUCGGUGCGUAAAGCCCUAUCGGCAGGGAAGAAACAGACGGUACCUGACUAAGAAGCCCCGGCUAACUACGUGCCAGCAGCCGCGGUAAUACGUAGGGGGCAAGCGUUAUCCGGAUUUACUGGGUGUAAAGGGAGCGUAGACGGCAGUGCAAGUCCGGAGUGAAAGCCCGGGGCUCAACCCUGGGACUGCUCUGGAAACUGUAAAGCUGGAGUGCGGGAGGGGCAGGCGGAAUUCCUGGUGUAGCGGUGAAAUGCGUAGAUAUCAGGAGGAACACCGGCGGCGAAGGCGGCCUGCUGGACCGUAACUGACGUUGAGGCUCGAAAGCGUGGGGAGCAAACAGGAUUAGAUACCCGAGUA